rnacentral:tRNA from 1 species
CCUCUUGUAGCUUAGUGGUCAAAGCAUUGGUGCGUAAAGCGAAAUGUCCUGGGUUCGAUUCCCGGCAAGGGUU